GUGCUGUGGAGACAGAAGACUGAUGGCUCUUGGUGAUACAGUGGACCUGGAGACAGUGACACUCCCUUGGUCUGCCUCAAUCCCCUUGACUUUGUUCCCCACUGGAAUAUGGAAUGGUCAACAGUUCCCUAAUCCAGGCUCCCCCUUGCCAAGCAAGAUAGUGGAAAACAAGCCAGAGGUUGAAUUCUUCCCUGAAGGCCUGCAAGCUCAGUUAAGGAGUCCUGGGGAGCUGAAAUCCUUGAUAAUGCCAAACAAUUCAACACUUUACACUCUCUUUACUUUGUCUGCACCACAGAAAAAUAUCGACUCCAUGCUGCCAGCUGAAGGAAGUGAGAUGCCAUAUUCUUUCUGCAUGUAGAAAUCUAUUCCCUUUGGAGGGUGAGAGCUUAGGACCCCAAGCUUGAUCGGGCCAAGCAAGGCACAGGGCAGUCUGGUACUCCUUGCCCCCAUCGGCUGUAGGACCUUGUACACCUGGACUAUCUUUCUGUCCUUCUGCAUGUGCUGCUGCUCUGUUCUUGCACAGAACCUCUGAUCAGAGGUGCAAAUAGCACUUCCUGAGCUUAGCGACAGCCAGGGCCCUGGAGGUUACAAAGCUGCCGCCUUCCAGCUCAGACUUUCAGCUUGGGGCAACACAUUUCAGCCUGGGGCUGAUAUAAGAAUGUUUCACCAGCACCUUUGUUUCUAGAAGAGGAGGCUGGGGAUAGAGGCCAAGACUUGCUCAGAGCCACACUGCAAUCAUGCUAGCGCAUACAGCCCCUUCUGCCAACACGUAGCCCGGAAAUUUGCCUAUUUGUCUAAUCACCUUUGAGUCUUGAACAAAUAUUAAAUGCCUGCGAUAUGCCAGGCAUUGUGUUAGGACCCAGGCAGCUUUCUGAGAGUCCAGGGAGCUCAGCUUUCAGGUAUCCUUAGAGACAAAGUGCAGAGCUCAUGCCUGGGUCGAGGGAAGUUCUACUGGGGCAAACAAUGUCUGGCUUCCGCAGGCAUUUUCAAAUCCCUCUCCCCUCCUCUGUAGCCAUUUCCCUCUCCAGUUUAUACUCACACACACUCACCUGCAUUUCAGGCACCCAGAAACACCUGGAAGUUCUGUUCAGUGAUCUGUCUCCCUUCUUCUUUUAUAAUAGUUAAGAGUGUGAGUUUAGGUUUAAAUAUUGGUUCUAAUGCUAGUUGGUUAGUCUAUCUGUGCCUCUGUGGUGUCAUCUAUUAAAAUGGGGGUGGGUGUUAAGAAUGCUAUAUAAUAUUAAAUAGAAUAGUACUGUUCAGCAUGGUGCCAAGUACAUGGUAUUAAAAAAUUCUAGCUGCUGGUCAGAGAGAUGGUUUAUCAGGUAAAGGACAAAAGUGGAGGAAGGAGAGAACUGAGUUCCACAAGUUGUCCUCCGACUUCCACAUUUACACUCAACACUACCCACUCCGCGACAAUGGAUAAGUGUGAUGAUGCUUUAAAAAGUACUAGCUGGUAGGCAAAAAUUCUACUACUAAGCCAAACCCACAACUUAUUAUUAUUCUAAUGGACAGUGUCAGGAGGAGGUUUGGACAAAGAACAGUCUCCUAUCUUAUGCUGGUCCAGCUUUGCUCCCUCCAAAGAUAGCAUUCUGUACUCAUGGUGUGAGCCACUCACCUUGGUCUCUUUUCUGUUCCUAUCCCCUCCACCCCACAUCCACAAUGCAGAGCGGUGGCUCCACAGUGCAGAACCAGCUGCCAGUUGUCAUCCUGUGCCUCCCUGGAGAGAGAGGGAGCACAAGGCAGGGAGGAGAGGACAGUAGCCUUGACUUAGAUCAUUGGUGCAGAGCUUUGUGGGGUGUCAGCCUUUUGUAUAGAGGAAAGUCAUCUGUUUCCUGGGCCCACAGCCAGCUCAUCUCCAGCACAGUGCUAUGAGAAGCUUCACAAACCAGAAGAGAGAAUGAAAAAGACCUUCUGGGUUUGUGUUACAGCUUUUAGGGAGUCCCUUGCUCUCUUCAGAACUAGAACAUGAGCCCAGGAAAAAGAGGGCCCAUGCAGGAAGAUCCUCUGACUCCAAGUGGGGUAUUACGAGUUAGUUAGGACAGUAACUCCAGCCUUCAACCAGUGGCAUUUGUAAAAUCCUAUGUCAUCAAUUGCUCACGACAGUCCUUUGAGACCAACAUGACUGUUAAGUGUUGUUAACAGCAUUUAACUGAUAACUAGUUUGAGGCCCAGAUAUGUUGCAGAGCAUGCUCAAGGUCCUGAGCAGGUAAGGGGUAAGGGUAGCAAGAAUGUAAGCUUCCUUAUCCUGAUUCCUAGUCACACCCACUUUUGUACUAUCAGCGGUUCUCCCAAGGCCCUUGGUCAUCUUUGUUUCACAAGGGAGGGAGCUGAGUGGCUCAUCCAAAUACUACAUUAUGUUAAAGAAGGUAGGAAAACAAACCAAAAUCAACCAACCAAUGAACCAAUGACAAACAAACAAAUAAACAAAAACCUAUGACAUGUGGGGAAGCUGAGAGUGUGACCCCAAACAUAUUGGUGUCAGUUUCUUUGCACUCUGAUAUGAUGGCCAAUGGCCAGACUUGGUCUGAGAAAUGGACGGAAGAGGACUACCUAAGACCUUGAGAAUGCGUCAAAGGUCAAGAACUGUAAUCUAAGACCAAACUUUGGGGCUUCUAACUGCCCUGCAAGCUCAGCUUUCAUUCAUUCAUUUGGGCAGAUUCAUUCCUUCUAAUAACAAAUCUCUGCUCUCGUGUAUUCAUCCAACAUUACUCUUUCAUUCUAAUUAUUUAUUUGAUAUGUGAUGUGUGCUGUUCUUCCCACUGCUCAGAACACAGGACCCGGGACCCAGGCUCCCACCUUGCAAGAACUGAGGGUGCUGGGAAAGAAAUAAUGGUACUUUUACCAAAUCCAGAGUCAAGUCAGCCCUGCUAGCUGUCGCAGCAGUGCUCAGCUCCAUUUAAGCUUGAGCCUCCUACGCAGUGAAAUCCUGGACUGAAGACUGAGCUCACUCAGGUGUGCAGGGUGGGCAGCUCUCCCACACCCUCAGUACCUGAGGUGCGCAUGCAGCUUUCAGCCCAGGAGACAAGCUAGCCUACAGGCAUGUCUAUCAGUGGGCUGCUUGCUUACUUCUCCAGAUGUCUGUAGUUCAGCAUCUGUAUCUGCCUGUCUUUCCAGCACCAAGGUGCUCCUCCAUCUGUCCCCUUCACACCACCUUCAGAGGGGUACCCAGUAACCACUCAGUCUAGCUUCUUUUGACUCACCUCAAGCGCCUUCACAACACCUGCAUCCCCCGAAGCUUCCAAAACCUUCUCUUUUCUAGCACAGUUCCAUCCAACACUCAUGUCUCUCUUAUCUAUGUGACAGGUCCUGUGAUGUCACAAUUUGGCAGUCCCGUGAUGUCACAUAGCAGCAGUCCUAUCAUAACUCAUACCAGCCCUAAGAACUAAGGUGACUAAGGCUGUUGGUCUUUGGAGGGGUUACUGUGUGUCAGAAGGUGACAGCGAGCAGGUCUAUGGGGAGGAUAACAUGGGGUUCAAGGACAGGAACAAGCUUCACCCAGAUGGAGGAUAUGACUGAGCUGAGCCUCAACCAAUAAAAAUGGGGUUGGAUAAGAGAGUGCUCUAGACAGAGGCAAAAAAGCAUUUUGGAAAGGUAGAAAAUGGCACCACACACCAGGAAAUAGUGAAUUUGACUUAAUGAUGAAGGAUGGCCCUGAAUGAGGCUGCCAAGGCUGGAAGGGUCCCACAGGCCAGGCUCAAGUCUUUAUCUGGCAGGAAAAACUUGGUUUUUAAUAUUUAGUGUUAGUUCCUAAAGAUUUACCUCAGAGUCACCUUCAGUCCAAGGAGCCUUCUCAGACUGAGUUCUAGAGCAGCACUGGGGGUGGGACUCAGGGCCCUGGGAAUGGUAAGCAAGCACUCCACCUUUGACUUUACAUCCCUAGACCCUUUUGGGGACUGACCCUGUUCCAGUGCCCCUCACUUGACUUUAAAUUCUCACCUAACUGGCUGAUGCCACCACUGGAUGGAGAUGAAGACUUGUUCUGUCCAGAAAGAGUCUGCCAUUGAAUGAGUGAGCUCAAACGGAAGCCAAUUUGCUCACUUCCUGAUAUCUGCCUCCAUCUAAACUCUGUUUAAAUAAAGAUUGACCUAUCUCUC
ensembl:antisense Gm3896 predicted gene 3896